rnacentral:lncRNA from 1 species
GCUACAAUGGACUAAGAUUAAAAUUUCCUCUCUGUAAAUCGAUACAUCGUAAUUCUUGGCGUUUCCUAGAAUAAAACUGCUUCUUUACAACAGUUAUUGAUCCCAAAGGUUACGACUUUAAAAAUGGAAACGUUGUUUCCCUGCGAUUUUCUCUCAGAUCUAGCCAGUUUUCGGCCCUGGAUAACCCAUAAUACAAGUUUGUAUAGUUAAAAGUUCGGUACAAUCCCCAAUGCGUCACUUUUUGGCCGUUUUGCACAACCUUCUUUCAGGCCUAAAAUGAAAGAAAAGAAUCGAAAUCGAAAUGCAAGUGAGUCAUACGGAAGUAAAAGGGCGGUCGAUAUAUUAUCAUGAAGGAACUUGUCACCUCCGUUUUCCAAAUUUUCCACCACAAAGUAUAGAUGUUCCCUGCAUCAGAUCCCCUGUUUUCCCCCUUAUAUCAAAUCCUUUCUUCUCCUCCUACCAUUUUUCGAAAAAAAUUUUCAAGCAGUCUUGUAGCCCCCCCCCCCCCCGCAUACCUGGCAUCAUUUGUAGAAGAUGUUUAAGAUUUAGCACAAAAUCACACACUGAAUCUUCAGUUCUCACAAUUUUGGCGCCCUUGAAUGAACUGAUUCAUUCCAUAAUAGUUGAAUUUCUCCUUAGCAGUCGGUUUCGGCGAUAACCGUCGUUUUCCGAUGAUCUUUUACUUCCAUUUACUGUUUCAAUUGUGGAUGGGCUACGAUACUUCCGAUAAUCGACGAUUUUUCGGUUAUCGACGAUAUUUUCGAUAACCGACGAGAUUUUCGAUAAUCGACGCUUCUUCGGUUAUCGACGAUAUUUUCGAUAAUCGACGAUAUUUUCGAUAAUCGACGAUAUUGCCGAUAAUCGACGAUAUUUCGAUAAUCGACGACACUUCGGUUAUCGACGAUAUUUCGGUUAUCGACGAUAUUUCGAUAAUCGUCGAUACCCCUUUACCCGAUCGAAGUUCGAUCGGUUUCGAUCGGUUUCGGUCGGUUUUCGGUUUCGAUCGUGCACAGGCCUAAUCCAAACGCCAGGUGUGCUUAUCUACGGAAAGGUUAGUAGACAAUGAACGACGUAAUAAAAUAGUGCAAUUUUCAACGUACUUAAAUGAUGUUGAAAGUUCCUUUCAUAGGUUAAGAAACAACGAAUAAGGAUUUGUCGAAAGCGUAAAUAAUGCAUAAAGUUGACAUUUACAUUUAAAGAAUGUACCUAUUGAUACAAUUUUUCAAUUAGGCAAAAACAACUAUAAUAGUACCAUAAUAAUAUAAUAAAUAUACAAUAUAAUAAAUAUAAUAAAUAAAUAUAAUAAAUAUAAUACAUAUACAAUUUCUGAAAUGAUUUCCGUAGAUUUCCGGCAUAUUUUCGUUACAUAUCCGUUCUUGUGUCAAAAACUCAGCUAAUGGAGACUUUAAGAUUUAAUCUUAUAAAAUUUCAACACAUAAUAUGGCGUGAAAAGAUUUGGCAUGGGUCAAAAAGUGCCGCAUAGAGAAAGGUGGGUAGCUCAAAAAAUGCGAAAAAUUGUGAUUUUCCACUUUGAAGCCGCGAAUUCAUCAUCCUGUAUAAAAAUCUGGGGCUAAAAAUAUAUCUUAAAAUUUAAAAUUCAAUGUGAUGAUGUUUUCGGUGGAUUAAAUUGCACAAUUAUGUGUCGAAAUUUUAAUGGUAAAUGUGAGAAUGCUCCUGAUGAGGACUUAUCCGAGAAACUUAUCGUAGAUGAUCCUGGUGAUAUAUGGAAUGGGUAUUAUACUCCUGAAUCGUCCACAGAAAGAACAGCAGACGACCGUAGAGAUGAAAGAAGUUCGGAGACGUUUGCAGGUAUUAACACUAACUGUUUUAUUUUUAUUUAGAUAUAGAUAGAAAUGGCCAAUGAUGCUAAAACAAUGUAGGUACUCAUUGACUUCAUCUACCAAGGAAAUUCAAAUCACGGUUCCUUCCACUUCGGUUUUAUCAGUGAUGUAAAUGAGGCGACUCUAGGUAAUUGAGAAAACGAGAAUGAAAGAAAUUACGGCACGCGCCCGUGAACUACUCAUCAUUUUGGGAGGCUGCAUAGAAUUUUAGCCUUACGGCAGAUCACAUUAAUAUCCUUGAUUUCAGCAAUCAUGACACUUCUCUAUUAAUUGCGCAAGUGUCACAUUAUUUCCAAAUAAUUGUAGCGUCAUUAUGAACCAACAAUCAAUAGAUAAAUACUCAUUGACAACAAAAAUAAGAUCCUGAAACGCCAAGGAAGCGUGAAAUUGUGAUUGAAUCUGCGAACCUUAUUGAGCGCAGGUUGCAUUUGUCAUUGUUCUCCUCUCAGAUUAAUACCAAAAGAUGUUCAUCAUACCUUCAUAGGCAUAAGUCUCUCUUAUUCUAGUAUACAAUGUUGCAAAAGUUCAAACGAGCAAUUCAAAUUCAGAUAAAUCCAUACCAGAAGUUCCUGUCCUCCAAUUUAGACUACGUCUUGCUGAAGUCGUAAAAUACUGCAAAUAUGGCAGUGAUGACAACGCAGGUGAGUCUUUUCCCAUCAAUUUUACUAUAGUUUUCCCACGAGUUGAUUAAGAAGAGGAAAUUUACAUUAUGGUAGGCACAAAUAACAUUCUCAGAUAGAAGAAGCGAAAGAAAAAAAACACCAAUAACACCUACAACAAUUCAACAAUUGCGUUCCUCUUGCUAUUUUAAACUAUGACCCAAUUUUAUACUUAAUAGCUCUUUCACCGAUGGAAAAUAUGUUAGAUUAUGCCAUUAUACCCGUGCUUUUCAUUAUGAUUUCAGAUCCUCAGGACAUUCAGUCAGCAGAGUGCUUGACCAUGCGUCUGAAUUAUACUUCUUGACAUCGAACAUGUUUACUAUAAUAGUUAUUAUAUAGUUAUUAUGGUACUAUAUUAUAGUUGUUUUUGCCUAAUUGAAAAACUAUAUCAAUACGUUGUUGAAAAUUGCACUAUUUUAUUACGUCGUUCGUUGUCUACUAACCUUUCCGUAGAUAAGCACACCUGGCGUUUGGAUGUCGCAGAGCGCCAGGGUGCGCCAAGGGAGCAAAUUCUACGUAUGCGUGUUGACAAUUUUAUAAUAUUGAAUUUUGAAGUCACUUUAAAGGAGUUUUUUGAACAAGAACGGAUAUGUUACGAAAAUAUGCCGGAAAAUCGCGAUUUUCGAGCUUUUCACGGCUUUUCACGGCUUUAAAACCGCUCCCACUAGACCUAAAAAGAAAAAUUUGGCAUCAUUUUCGUCUUACAAGUAAUCGGCAUUAAUUUUCAAGGUAAGGCUAUCCUGAAAUUUUGCGAAAGAACAAAUUUAUCUCACAAAAUGAAGAAACCCCGUGGAAAAUCGCGAUUUUACGAGUUUUUAGAGCUUUCCACGGCUCCAGCGCUCUCCCCAAUGGACCUAUGAAAAAAACGUUCGGAUCAUUUUUAUAGGAAAUUUUAUCAGCUUUCAUUUUGGAAAUAACUAUUUUCUCGAUAUAUCGCACUGGAAAAGAGAUAUCUCCGGAAAACCGCGGAAAACGUGAUUUUUCGCGGUUUUUCCGAUUUUCCGGAGUUAGCACAAGGAAAAUUUGUUGGGAAACCAAAAUUCGGAUUCAGCGUAAAAAAUUACAUAGGAAUCAAUCAUAACCUGAUUUCACCUAAAUUUUGCAAGGUAAACCCCUAUUCUAUCCUCUAUUGCCUGGACUACUUGUAAAAACGCCGAGAAUUGUUUUUCAGUGCACGCGGCCCAAUCCUCUGGUAACGCUUCGUGCCCUUGCUUUGCAGGAUUCCGUGAGAAAAUCUAAAUAGAGCAGGUUUACCUAGGAACUGUCUCCUAUUGGUAGUCAUAAAAAUCAUUAAAUCGGCCUGGUGAAUCUUUAAAAUGAACUUUGACAAAAAUUGAACAUUUGCACUGUUUGAAUGGUAGAGUUCACAACUGCCGUGCUAAGCAAGAAAUUUAUCAAGAUUUUCCCUUGUUUCUUGGAACUUGACACUUUAUAAAAUAAAAACCGUUUUACCCACGCACCUCAAAUUUUCAGGUCAAGUUCUUGAUAGUAUUUGCGAAAAAAUUCUUUGAAAACAUUUUCCCAAGGUACACAAGUUUUUUUUUUUUUUUUGAAAUUUUUUUUGAAAUUUGAAUAAGGUAGAAAAUACAAACGACCGAGUAGUUUGUAACUUAUCUAAAACAAGUUUUUCUGCUAUCAUAUAUACAUUGUUUCCAAAAAAUGUAUAAUGGCGUUUACGGCGUUUGUGCGUUGCACGGCAGACAACUUGUGGUGAAACCCCAAUUUUGUUGAUGACAUGGACAUUUCAAAUCAAUUUUGGCAGUACCGCAACUCAAGUUUGACGCUCAUUGGCGUACUACCACAAUUAAUUGGAAAUGUCCAUAUCAUCCAACAACCUCGUGCUCUUUUUUCCCAUGCCGUGAGGAACAUCUACACCAGCAUUCUUAAAUUCGUAUCUUGCCUGAUGGUCCAUUGCAAUCAUGAAUCUUCGUAACCACCCAUGGCUCCUGUAAUGAGACAUUUUUUGUCGCCUAUUUCUUGCUGCGGGAUCGACCUCAUUUGAAUACUUGCCUCAAAAUCGUCCGAGUAGUGAAGGCUCUCUUGGCUGGAAGAUGAUAUUCGAUCCAUCUCCUCUUUCAUUUCACGGUCGGCCGACUGGAAACUUUGCUGGAAGUGCUCUGUCGAGGCGCUGGUUGUUGAGAUCUGCUCGUCUCCGGUUUCCAAGAAACUGAGGGUUUCGUCGAAUUGGAUGUGAAUCCUUUUGGUCCACUUUUGGAGGCCCUGUCUUGAGCCACCUGAGUUGUUGAUCGGAGUGUGGUAGUUUUCGAGCUUGGGACACUUGUCGGAGGUCUCGAGUUCGAAUCCGCCUUGUAGAUAGCAUUUGGCACUAACAAACACAUGUAAAAAUAUAACAGAGGAUGAACAAACAGGAACUAGAAUACUUUCUAUGUGAAAAUAAGACUCACUUAAUCUUUCCUAUUGAGUAUCUGAGUUGAGCUUGGGACACUCUUCGG